GGAAAAUCUAGGCUUGAACAAGACAGAAAAAGAGGGUCAUGCCUGGGGCCAGAAGCCAGGAAGCUGCCAGCUAACCAGACUCUGGAGGAAGCAGGAAAGUAAGAUAUACAAAAAGAAAGAGUGCAUGAAAGAAAUGAAAUCCUCAAUGUGGAUAUAUGUAAUGGUAGGAAACCUUAUUCGUGGAAAUGGUGAAACCCCCAUCAUGCCCUUGGGUAUAUCCUACAUAGAAGAUUUUGCCAAAUUUGAAAACUCCCCUUUAUACAUUGCUGGCAUUCUGGCACCUAUUUAUUUUGGCACUUUAGUAGACUGAACCUGUAUACAUUGAGGAACUCUGAAAUGUGGUGAGCCUGGAG